rnacentral:rRNA from 1 species
UACGAAGGGGGCUAGCGUUGCUCGGAAUCACUGAGCGUAAAGCGCACGUAGGCGGCUUUCUAAGUCAGGGGUGAAAUCCUGGAGCUCAACUCCAGAACUGCCUUUGAUACUGGGAAGCUCGAGUCCGGAAGAGGUGAGUGGAACUCCGAGUGUAGAGGUGAAAUUCGUAGAUAUUGGGAAGAACACCAGUGGCGUAAGCGUCUUGCUGGGCUGUAACUGACGCUGAGGAACGAAAGCCAGGGGAGCAAACGGG